rnacentral:rRNA from 1 species
UACGAAGGGGGCUAGCGUUGUUCGGAAUUACUGGGCGUAAAGGGCGCGUAGGCGGUACUUCAAGUCAGGCGUGAAAGCCCCAGGCUCAACCUGGGAACCGCGCUUGAGACUGGAGAACUAGAGUUCGGGAGAGGAUGGUGGAAUUCCCAGUGUAGAGGUGAAAUUCGUAGAUAUUGGGAAGAACACCGAUGGCGAAGGCAGCCAUCUGGACCGACACUGACGCUGAGGCGCGAAAGCUAGGGGAGCAAACAGG